rnacentral:rRNA from 1 species
UACGUAGGGGGCAAGCGUUGUCCGGAAUCACUGGGCGUAAAGGGCGCGUAGGCGGCCCGGCAAGUCAAUGGUGAAAGCUCAGGGCUCAACUCUGAGUCGGCCACUGAUACUGCGGGGGCUCGAGUCUGGUAGAGGCAGAUGGAAUUCCGGGUGUAGCGGUGGAAUGCGCAGAUAUCGGGGAGGAACACCAGUGGCGAAGGCGGCGCUCUGGGCCGGAACUGACGCUGAGGAGCGAAAGCGUGGGUAGCAAACAGG